UACGUAGGGUGCAAGCGUUAAUCGGAAUUACUGGGCGUAAAGCGUGCGCAGGCGGUGAUGUAAGACAGAUGUGAGAUCCCCGGGCUCAACCUGGGAACUGCAUUUGUGACUGCAUCGCUGGAGUACGGCAGAGGGGGAUGGAAUUCCGCGUGUAGCAGUGAAAUGCGUAGAUAUGCGGAGGAACACCGAUGGCGAAGGCAAUCCCCUGGGCCUGUACUGACGCUCAUGCACGAAAGCGUGGGGAGCAAACAGG
rnacentral:rRNA from 1 species